rnacentral:lncRNA from 1 species
AAUCGAUUGCAAUAAUUUUUUUAAAAUUCCUGUCAAUGGCGUUAAAAUGUGAGAUGUUGCAUUAGAAAAUGACUAAAGCAUUUUUUUUUAAAAUUACAUUAUAAAAAAUUACUAUUACUUUGUUCUAAAGAAUAUAUUAGCGUUCAAAAAAAUAAAGCACUAAACAAGAUUCAAAUGGAUUUAUGGCGUAUUUACUAACUGGCAAUCUAAAUAAGAAUAAGAGAAUGAGAAUAGAUGGUGUGUUCAAUUACUUAUAUGAGAAAGAAAACUGAAAAUAGAUUAGCGAAUCUCACCAAAAAUUGGGAAUGAUCACGGGAGUUUCCAUUCUCAUAGAAGAGGUCGGGAUAAAAAUCUCAUUUCUUUGAUUAGUUAUAUUACCCCCACUAAAUUUAUAAAAUUUCCAUUUGGUUCUUUUUUAUAUAUUUAAAAAAAAUAUCAUUUUGUUGCCGUCGUUGCCACAGCUGCUUGCUACCAUUGUUGUCGAUGCUGCUUGGUGAUAUUGUUGUCUUUGUUGCUGCCAUUCACUGUUGGCCUGCGGUUUGCUAGGGUGGGUAAACGGUUCUAUGAGCAAAAACCGAAUGGUUUAAAAAGUACUGAACCGAUUGGUUUUUGUUUGGUUUGGUUUAAAACCGAACUGAACUGAAAAAUCGAUCGGUUCGGUUCAAUUUAAUUACAAAAUAUUUAAAGUGAAAUAUAUAAAUUUAAAAUCAAAUUUCAAUCACAAAAAAUCAAAACCCUAAAUUGGAAUUCACAAAUUCACGAUUGCAUCUAUACUGUUGCCCUUGCCUCUCUCCCUCGCGCCUCUCUCUCUCCUCAUGGCUCCCUUGCCUCACACCACGGUCAGCGCCUAGCACAGCCCCUCAGUAGUAGCACAACCCCUCCCCUCAAGCACAGUGACGCCGUCGUUAACCCUUGCACAUGGUCAUCUUGGUUGCUGCAGCUGCAGCCUGUGGGUGUCUUUUUUUCUUUUAAAUUUAUGCCAUGGCCCGUCUGUUUUUUUUUUUUUAAUUUUACUUAAUAACUUGAGUUUUUGGGUCAAUGGUAAUGGUGUUGGAUCAAUACCCAACAUCUCAUUCUGCCUCAAAUCUCAAUCAAUUUCAAAUCAUUUUCAUUUUAUUUUAUUCGGUUUGGGUCUCAUAACAUCGGAGUACUCGUUGCAAGUUAGGAGCUGGCUAAGUUAAAGCAUCUGUAAGGUACAUAUGUUGCUUCAGCUAACCCCCAACCUUGCAUUUGCAUUGCUUUUUCUCUGUAAGUCAGGACACGUGUGCUAUUAGCUUUGGGUGUGUAUGUUACAGAUGUUGUAACAUAGCAACAUCCUGCAAGUUAAUAUUAUAUGCAUGCUCUUAACUAAUUUUAGUUUCUUGUUAUUUUAAAAUCAUCAAAACGGAAAUGUUGUUACUGUAGUUAUACAAGUUAAAAUAAACUUAUAAUUAAACAGAAAUGUUGAAUAUUUGCUAAGCUGAAUAUUGUGAUUAAACAAAAAUGUUAAGAACCGAACCGAAAUAUUUCGGUUCGGUUCCUAAAUUCGGUUCGAAUUCGGUUCAUCUUCUAAAGAACCGAUUGGUUUUGGUUCAGUUCGGUUUAGGUCCCGAACCGACUAUUGCCCACCCCUAGUGAUGAUGAUGAUGAUUGUUAUUAUUAUUUGUUGUCGUUGAUGAUGAAUAAUAGUAGUACUUAUUGUUAUUCUUACUAUUGUUUGAUGUUGUUGUUGUUUUAUUCUUAUUAUUAACAAUUAGUUUUUUUUAAUAAUAAUAAUCAUAAU